GGAGGACCUACCAGUCACCACAUAAUAAACCCUCUCACCACCAUGGGUUGUUAACUAUUUGCCCACUGGCUGCUAGAGCUUGGAGCAUUUGGGUCUUUAUUUCACCCAUCCAGCAGUGUUUGUUCCAGUUGGAAUCCGGGCCAAAUUCAGCAUGGGGCCUGAAUUGCAACAUCUUAGCUUUGCACUGAGGUGCGUGACUGAGCUCAUUGGCUGAGGGUGAUCAGCUGAUGUUCUUAGCCAAUGAACUAGACCUGAAAAGCAAGGCUUAGUCCAGGAGAACUAAAUGAACUCAUAAGCAUAAGCAAAC